CAUGGAAGUAUUAUAUUGACAGGAACUACUACGACCCGACUUCAAACGUUUCAUCUGCGAUGCCGCGCCCAAUUUAAUGACAUGUUAAUUAAUUAGCUUGAAACAUGGCACGUUAUUUACAUACCAGCGUGUGGUGCCCUACAAUAUAGUCAUUCUCGGUUACUUUUUUGCUUUAACUCGAAUAAUUCAAGCCCUUUCCGUGUCCGAUUUUCUCCCACACGAGGGCUUGAACUCCUUGUGAUCAUUGGCCGUGUCGCCUGCUCUCUGUGAGAGAGAGCCAAUCAGCGGCGAUCAGGAUAUGAGUCUGCGCAACUCUCUUGAAAUUGUCUUACCAAACACGUGUGUUCAAUUAACACAAAUCCGAUAAUAAUUAAUUAACAUCAAUUAACAUCAGUUUACAUCAUUUAUCAUCAAUUAACAUCCGGAACUCCUCCUUCUUAGCUGCCAAUUUAAAUCAAAAUUCCCAUAUUGCAAAGUGGUGUGAAUUUUUCGGUUGACGGUCUUGAUCGAGGAAGACGUUCAGGCGUUAAUGUAGCCUUCGUAGAUCAGCGGAAUAUAACGACUGAAUUAUUCGGGUUAGGUUGCUUUCGGGAUUACGGAAAUAAACGAAGAAAUCGAAAGUUGUGAUAAAUUCUUAGGAAACAGCAAUCGGCAAACCUCGGCAGAUUCCGUUACCCUACAUCUGCACAUGUGUGCCGAUUGAGUGAUUGAUGGAUUAAUGCGAGUCAUCAUUAAUUCUAUAGAAAAACACAUUGACGAUGGAAAUUUAUCCAAAUUUAUUGAAUAAAUGCCCCAUUUUUAUUGAUUUAUUUUUGGAAAUUGGACUAUAUGUAAUAUAUAUAUCGCAGGUUGUGAUUAUAUGUUUUCUCAACUGAGUGGCACACAUUUCCUGCAUAUUUAAGACGAUUGUAAAUUAUCGUUCUAAUAACAUCAAAAGAUCAAAGAGAUUUUAGAUAAAUGUAGGAAUUAUUAAGCUUCGCUCUAAAUCCAGGGUAAGAUCAUUGAUUAGUAUAAACCAAUGUUCAGCUGAACCCCGAUAUGUUGAAUUUUUUUUAGUACUGCGACUCAAGGAUUUGUAUAGUGACACGUUAAAAA
rnacentral:lncRNA from 1 species